rnacentral:rRNA from 1 species
GCUACACAUGCAAGUCGAACGGUAACAGGAAGCAGCUUGCUGCUUCGCUGACGAGUGGCGGACGGGUGAGUAAUGUCUGGGAAACUGCCUGAUGGAGGGGGAUAACUACUGGAAACGGUAGCUAAUACCGCAUAACGUCGCAAGACCAAAGAGGGGGACCUUCGGGCCUCUUGCCAUCGGAUGUGCCCAGAUGGGAUUAGCUAGUAGGUGGGGUAACGGCUCACCUAGGCGACGAUCCCUAGCUGGUCUGAGAGGAUGACCAGCCACACUGGAACUGAGACACGGUCCAGACUCCUACGGGAGGCAGCAGUGGGGAAUAUUGCACAAUGGGCGCAAGCCUGAUGCAGCCAUGCCGCGUGUAUGAAGAAGGCCUUCGGGUUGUAAAGUACUUUCAGCGGGGAGGAAGGCGAUGAGGUUAAUAACCUUGUCAAUUGACGUUACCCGCAGAAGAAGCACCGGCUAACUCCGUGCCAGCAGCCGCGGUAAUACGGAGGGUGCAAGCGUUAAUCGGAAUUACUGGGCGUAAAGCGCACGCAGGCGGUCUGUCAAGUCGGAUGUGAAAUCCCCGGGCUCAACCUGGGAACUGCAUUCGAAACUGGCAGGCUAGAGUCUUGUAGAGGGGGGUAGAAUUCCAGGUGUAGCGGUGAAAUGCGUAGAGAUCUGGAGGAAUACCGGUGGCGAGGGCGGCCCCCCUGGACAAAGACUGACGCUCAUGUGCGAAAGCGUGGGGAGCAAACACGAUUAUAUACCCUGGUAGUUCCACGCCGUAGACGAUGUC